rnacentral:rRNA from 1 species
GAUGAACGCUGACAGAAUGCUUAACACAUGCAAGUCAACCUGAAUUUGGGUUUUUAACUUCGGUUUGGGUGGCGGACGGGUGAGUAACGCGUAAAGAACUUGCCUCACAGCUAGGGACAACAUUUGGAAACGAAUGCUAAUACCUAAUAUUAUGAUAAUAGGGCCUCCUAUAAUUAUGAAAGCUAUAAGCGCUGUGAGAGAGCUUUGCGUCCCAUUAGCUAGUUGGAGAGGUAACGGCUCACCAAGGCGAUGAUGGGUAGCCGGCCUGAGAGGGUGAUCGGCCACAGAGGGACUGAGGCACGACCAUUACGCCAACUGGAGGCAGGAGUGGAGAAUAUAGGACGAUGGACCGAGAGUCUGAUCCAGCAAUUCGGUGUGCACGAUGAAGUUUUUCGGAAAGUAAAGUGCUUUCAGUUGGGAAGAAACUAAUGACGGUACCAACAGAAGAAGUGACGGCUAAAUACGUG